UACGUAGGGGGCAAGCGUUGUCCGGAAUCAUUGGGCGUAAAGAGCGUGUAGGCGGCUUGGUAAGUCCGCUGUGAAAGUCCAGGGCUCAACCCUGGAAAGCCGGUGGAAACUGUCAAGCUUGAGUCCGGAAGAGGCGAGUGGAAUUCCUGGUGUAGCGGUGAAAUGCGCAGAUAUCAGGAAGAACACCCGUGGCGAAGGCGGCCCACUGGGCCGGUACUGACGCUGAGGCGCGAAGGCGUGGGGAGCGAACGGG
rnacentral:rRNA from 1 species